GAUGAACGCUGGCGGCGUGCCUAAUACAUGCAAGUCGAGCGAACAGACGAGGAGCUUGCUCCUUCGACGUUAGCGGCGGACGGGUGAGUAACACGUAGGUAACCUACCUAUAAGACUGGGAUAACUUCGGGAAACCGGAGCUAAUACCGGAUAAUAUUUCGAACCGCAUGGUUCGAUAGUGAAAGAUGGCUUUGCUAUCACUUAUAGAUGGACCUGCGCCGUAUUAGCUAGUUGGUAAGGUAACGGCUUACCAAGGUAACGAUACGUAGCCGACCUGAGAGGGUGAUCGGCCACACUGGAACUGAGACACGGUCCAGACUCCUACGGGAGGCAGCAGUAGGGAAUCUUCCGCAAUGGGCGAAAGCCUGACGGAGCAACGCCGCGUGAGUGAUGAAGGUCUUCGGAUCGUAAAACUCUGUUAUUAGGGAAGAACAAACGUGUAAGUAACUGUGCACGUCUUGACGGUACCUAAUCAGAAAGCCACGGCUAACUACGUG
rnacentral:rRNA from 1 species